UACGUAGGGGGCUAGCGUUGUCCGGAAUCAUUGGGCGUAAAGCGCGUGUAGGCGGCCCGAUAAGUCCGCUGUGAAAGUCGGGGGGCUCAACCCUCGGAUGCCGGUGGAUACUGUCGGGCUCGAGUACGGAAGAGGCGAGUGGAAUUCCUGGUGUAGCGGUGAAAUGCGCAGAUAUCAGGAGGAACACCAAUUGCGAAGGCAGCUCGCUGGGACGUUACUGACGCUGAGGAGCGAAAGCAUGGGGAGCGAACAGG
rnacentral:rRNA from 1 species